UGUCGGUGAUGAUGUCCAGUGCAU
rnacentral:siRNA from 1 species